rnacentral:rRNA from 1 species
UACGGGGGGGGCAAGCGUUGUUCGGAAUUACUGGGCGUAAAGGGCUCGUAGGCGGCCCACUAAGUCAGACGUGAAAUCCCUCGGCUUAACCGGGGAACUGCGUCUGAUACUGGAGGGCUUGAGUUUGGGAGAGGGAUGCGGAAUUCCAGGUGUAGCGGUGAAAUGCGCAGAUAUCAGGAAGAACACCCGUGGCGAAGGCGGCUCUCUGGGACGGUACUGACGCUGAGACGCGAAAGCGUGGGGAGCAAACAGG